GUGAAUCAUCGAAUUUUUGAACGCAAAUUGCACUCUCUGGUAUUCCGGAGAGUAUGCCUGUUUGAGGGUCAGUUUAAAUAAAAAUCGGUGUGGUUGCUGCCUUUCGUGGUGACGCACCGGAUUUGGUUCUUCUUGCUUUGGUUUAGUUGCCUUAAAAUCUUCCAUGAUUUUUUUCGACGGAAUUUAAAUGAUUUUCCUAACUUUUGCGUAAUGGAAUC
rnacentral:misc_RNA from 1 species